AGUGAACGCUGGCGGUAGGCCUAACACAUGCAAGUCGAACGGCAGCACAGUAAGAGCUUGCUCUUACGGGUGGCGAGUGGCGGACGGGUGAGGAAUACAUCGGAAUCUACUUUUUCGUGGGGGAUAACGUAGGGAAACUUACGCUAAUACCGCAUACGACCUACGGGUGAAAGCAGGGGAUCUUCGGACCUUGCGCGAUUGAAUGAGCCGAUGUCGGAUUAGCUAGUUGGCGGGGUAAAGGCCCACCAAGGCGACGAUCCGUAGCUGGUCUGAGAGGAUGAUCAGCCACACUGGAACUGAGACACGGUCCAGACUCCCACGGGAGGCAGCAGUGGGGAAUAUUGGACAAUGGGCGCAAGCCUGAUCCAGCCAUACUGCGUGGGUGAAGAAGGCCUUCGGGUUGUAAAGCCCUUUUGUUGGGAAAGAAAAGCAGCAGGUUAAUACCCCGCUGUUCUGACGGUACCCAAAGAAUAAGCACCGGCUAACUUCGUG
rnacentral:rRNA from 1 species